rnacentral:rRNA from 1 species
CGGGUGGUAAUGCCGGAUGCUCCGACUCCUCGCAUGGGGUGUCGGGAAAGAUUUCAUCGGUAUGGGAUGGGGUCGCGUCCUAUCAGGUAGUCGGCGGGGUAACGGCCCACCGAGCCUACGACGGGUAGCCGGCCUGAGAGGGCGACCGGCCACAUUGGGACUGAGAUACGGCCCAGACUCCUACGGGAGGCAGCAGUGGGGAAUAUUGCACAAUGGGCGCAAGCCUGAUGCAGCGACGCCGCGUGCGGGAUGACGGCCUUCGGGUUGUAAACCGCUUUUGAUCGGGAGCAAGCCUUCGGGUGAGUGUACCUUUCGAAUAAGCACCGGCUAACUACGUGCCAGCAGCCGCGGUAAUACGUAGGGUGCAAGCGUUAUCCGGAAUUAUUGGGCGUAAAGGGCUCGUAGGCGGUUCGUCGCGUCCGGUGUGAAAGUCCAUCGCUUAACGGUGGAUCUGCGCCGGGUACGGGCGGGCUGGAGUGCGGUAGGGGAGACUGGAAUUCCCGGUGUAACGGUGGAAUGUGUAGAUAUCGGAAAGAAACACCA